rnacentral:rRNA from 1 species
ACGGAUUUCUUCGGAUUGAAGCCUUGGUGACUGAGCGGCGGACGGGUGAGUAACGCGUGGGUAACCUGCCUCAUACAGGGGGAUAACAGUUGGAAACGGCUGCUAAUACCGCAUAAGCGCACAGUACCGCAUGGUACGGUGUGAAAAACUCCGGUGGUAUGAGAUGGACCCGCGUCUGAUUAGGUAGUUGGUGGGGUAACGGCCUACCAAGCCGACGAUCAGUAGCCGACCUGAGAGGGUGACCGGCCACAUUGGGACUGAGACACGGCCCAAACUCCUACGGGAGGCAGCAGUGGGGAAUAUUGCACAAUGGGGGAAACCCUGAUGCAGCGACGCCGCGUGAGCGAUGAAGUAUUUCGGUAUGUAAAGCUCUAUCAGCAGGGAAGAAAAUGACGGUACCUGACUAAGAAGCCCCGGCUAACUACGUGCCAGCAGCCGCGGUAAUACGUAGGGGGCAAGCGUUAUCCGGAUUUACUGGGUGUAAAGGGAGCGUAGACGGCAUGGCAAGCCAGAUGUGAAAGCCCGGGGCUCAACCCCGGGACUGCAUUUGGAACUGUCAGGCUAGAGUGUCGGAGAGGAAAGCGGAAUUCCUAGUGUAGCGGUGAAAUGCGUAGAUAUUAGGAGGAACACCAGUGGCGAAGG